UACGUAGGGGGCUAGCGUUGUCCGGAUUUAUUGGGCGUAAAGCGCGUGUAGGCGGCCGGCUAGGUCUGGUGUGAAAACUCGAGGCUCAACCUCGAGAUGUCGCCGGAAACCAGUCGGCUAGAGUCCGGAAGAGGAGAGUGGAAUUCCUGGUGUAGCGGUGAAAUGCGUAGAUAUCUGGAGGAACACCGGUGGCGAAGGCGGCAUCCUGGACCGACAUUGACGCUGAGGAGCGAAAGCCAGGGGAGCAAACGGG
rnacentral:rRNA from 1 species